rnacentral:rRNA from 1 species
AAUGAACGCUGGCGGCAUGCCUUACACAUGCAAGUCGAACGGCAGCAUGACCUAGCUUGCUAGGUUGAUGGCGAGUGGCGAACGGGUGAGUAAUGCAUCGGAACGUGUCUUUUUGUGGGGGAUAACGUAGCGAAAGUUAUGCUAAUACCGCAUAUUCUACGAGGGGGAAAGCAGGGGACCUUCGGGCCUUUCGCUAGAAGAGCGGCCGAUGUCGGAUUAGCUAGUUGGUGAGGUAAAGGCUCACCAAGGCAACGAUCCGUAGCGGGUCUGAGAGGAUGAUCCGCCACACUGGGACUGAGACACGGCCCAGACUCCUACGGGAGGCAGCAGUGGGGAAUUUUGGACAAUGGGCGCAAGCCUGAUCCAGCCAUGCCGCGUGAGUGAAGAAGGCCUUCGGGUUGUAAAGCUCUUUCGGCUGGGAAGAAAUCGCACCCUCUAAUACAGGGUGUGGAUGACGGUACCAGCAUAAGAAGCACCGGCUAACUACGUG